CACAAACCAAUGACAAAGCAACUUCAGCGAUGGCAAGAGCAUUCUUCAGAAUCGUAUGAACCUUCAUUUCUGUUAUUUAAUCCUAUGCUUUUAUCAAUCCUCCCUCAAACCUGAUUCAGGAGGCAGACAGUCAUUAGCAAUUAGUGUUUAGAUUUUCUUUCACUACACACGUUUCAAGGUUGAUGCCUCUGUCAGUAAUUUGAUGGAUUUUGCUUUCAAUCUUUUGUCAAUGAAAAGUGUGGACUGAAAGCUUCCACUUUUCCUGACAGUCACUUAGCCCUGAGCUUUAGGAGGGUCACUUUACAAGUCCAACAAAACUCAGGGCUGGUUCCACCCAUUAGAACUCUGGCCAAAAGGAAGCAGAAAGCCUGACUGUACUUUUCAGCUUGCUGCUAUAUACCUGCAAUAAUUCUAAGGGGCCCAUUUUCUCCUUAAUAAACCUGGUUGCUGAUGUAAAUCCCUGGCUG
rnacentral:lncRNA from 1 species